CUUGGUCAUUUAGAGGAAGUAAAAGUCGUAACAAGGUUUCCGUAGGUGAACCUGCGGAAGGAUCAUUAUCGAAAUUAUUGGUGAGGGUUGUAGCUGGCCUUUCGAGGCAUGUGCACGCUCGAGCCCUUAAUCCACUUUACACCUGUGCACUUAAUGUAGGUCGCCCUUAAAAAAGGUGACCUAUGUCUUAUCAUCAACCCAUCGUAUGUCUCAUAGAAUGUAAUCGAUAUCCUCGCCCUGAAAAAGCGUUGAUAAACUUAUACAACUUUCAACAACGGAUCUCUUGGCUCUCGCAUCGAUGAAGAACGCAGCGAAAUGCGACAAGUAAUGUGAAUUGCAGAUUUUCAGUGAAUCAUCGAAUCUUUGAACGCACCUUGCGCUCCUUGGUAUUCCGAGGAGCAUGCCUGUUUGAGUGUCAUUAAAUUCUCAACUCCAAGGGUUUCACGACCUUUCGGAGAUUGGACUUGGAGGUGCUGGCCGCAUAUUGGUCGGCUCCUCUCAAAUGCAUCAGCGGAAUUCAACCUUUGGCUUCCGGAUGUCAGUGUGAUAAUCAUGUUGCGCUGUCGUUUGAUCCCUCAGAGUCCGCUUAUAAUGGUCUUCGGACAAAAUCAUCAUCAAAUUUGACCUCAAAUCAGGUAGGACUACCCGCUGAACUUAAGCAUAUCAAUAAGCGGAGGA
rnacentral:rRNA from 2 species